GUAGUCCACGCCGUAAACGAUGAAUACUAGGUGUAGGGGUUGUCAUGACCUCUGUGCCGCCGCUAACGCAUUAAGUAUUCCGCCUGGGGGAGUACGGUCGCAAGAUUAAAACUCAAAGGAAUUGACGGGGGGCCCGCACAAGCAGCGGAGCAUGUGGUUUAAUUCGAAGCAACGCGAAGAACCUUACCUAGACUUGACAUCUCCUGCAUUACUCUUAAUCGAGGAAGUCUCUUCGGAGACAGGAUGACAGGUGGUGCAUGGUUGUCGUCAGCUCGUGUCGUGAGAUGUUGGGUUAAGUCCCCCGCAACGAGCGCAACCCUUAUUGUUAGUUGCCAUCAUUAAGUUGGGCACUCUAGCGAGACUGCCCGGGUUAACCGGGAGGAAGGUGGGGAUGACGUCAAAUCAUCAUGCCCCUUAUGUCUAGGGCUACACACGUGCUACAAUGGUCGGUACAUAAGAGCGCAAACCCGACGAGGGGGGAGCAAAACUGGAAAAACCGGAUCUCAGUUCGGAUUGUAGGCUGAAACUCGCCUACAUGAAGCUGGAGUUGCUAGUAAUCGCGAAUCAGCAUGUCGCGGUGAAUACGUUCCCGGGCCUUGUACACACCGCCCGUCA
rnacentral:rRNA from 1 species